GCGCAGGGGAGGGGGAGGGACGCGGGCGGUGCAUGCCGGGAGGCGAGGCGAGGCGAGGCGAGGCGAGGCGGUCGGCGCCCGCCAUCCGGGCAGGGCUGGGGCUCCUGGGUGCCCCUCGGGCUCCGCGGCCCCGGGAGACUACGGAUUGGGAAGGGGCCUGCUGAGUCACGGAAUAUUCUCAGCGCCAGAAUGACUCAGUUCGCAGAACCAGAGCCAGAAGAUCAUGAGUUUCAGUCCUAGAUCAGAACCUGGGCACGGACCCAGACAAGAGUGAGCCAGGACCGGGCGAAGCGGUGCUGUAAAAUGGACCAGCAGAAUGCAGUGGUUCUUAGAUCUUUGAGUCCUCUAGCAAAGUGGAUGCACGAAAUGCAUACACGAGACAGAUUGUUUUAACUUUUCAGAAAAGAUUUUAUGAAUACUGACAAAUUAAAGGCAAACAACACUCCAGAGAAAAGAGUUCUCCCCAUCAGGAUUUACGUAAAUAAUUUCCAGGAAGAAUGCUCAUUAUCUCACACCCAGAUAGAUGAAUAGAGGUACCAGCCCACCAGAAAACCAAGGAGCAUGGGGCAAGCAGUUCAAAAAAAACCAACUUGCUGUUUCGAGAAGAGAGCAGUUUACAAGGCAAGAUUAAAACAAAAAUCUAUCAGGAUUAGAAAAAUUUAUUGUUUUGGGUUUGUUGUCUCUUUUGCUUUUUGUUUUUCUUUUCUGUCUUUUUUUUUUUUUCCUCUUAAAUAAAGAAAAGAAAAAGAA